rnacentral:rRNA from 1 species
GACGAACGCUGGCGGCGUGCUUAACACAUGCAAGUCGAACGAUGAAGGCGGGAGCUUGCUCCUGCUGGAUUAGUGGCGAACGGGUGAGUAACACGUGAGUAACCUGCCCUUGACUCUGGGAUAAGCGUUGGAAACGACGUCUAAUACCGGAUACGAGCUAGGACCGCAUGGUCACUAGCUGGAAAGAACUUCGGUCAAGGAUGGACUCGCGGCCUAUCAGCUAGUUGGUGAGGUAAUGGCCCACCAAGGCGACGACGGGUAGCCGGCCUGAGAGGGUGACCGGCCACACUGGGACUGAGACACGGCCCAGACUCCUACGGGAGGCAGCAGUGGGGAAUAUUGCACAAUGGGCGCAAGCCUGAUGCAGCAACGCCGCGUGAGGGACGACGGCCUUCGGGUUGUAAACCUCUUUUAGCAGGGAAGAAGCGAAAGUGACGGUACCUGCAGAAAAAGCACCGGCUAACUACG